CGGGGGGGGGGGGUGCUAUACAUGCAAGUAGAACGCUGAAGAGAGGAGCUUGCUCUUCUUGGAUGAGUUGCGAACGGGUGAGUAACGCGUAGGUAACCUGCCUUGUAGCGGGGGAUAACUAUUGGAAACGAUAGCUAAUACCGCAUAACAAUGGAUGACACAUGUCAUUUAUUUGAAAGGGGCAAUUGCUCCACUACAAGAUGGACCUGCGUUGUAUUAGCUAGUAGGUGAGGUAACGGCUCACCUAGGCGACGAUACAUAGCCGACCUGAGAGGGUGAUCGGCCACACUGGGACUGAGACACGGCCCAGACUCCUACGGGAGGCAGCAGUAGGGAAUCUUCGGCAAUGGGGGCAACCCUGACCGAGCAACGCCGCGUGAGUGAAGAAGGUUUUCGGAUCGUAAAGCUCUGUUGUAAGUCAAGAACGAGUGUGAGAGUGGAAAGUUCACACUGUGACGGUAGCUUACCAGAAAGGGACGGCUAACUACGUGCCAGCAGCCGCGGUAAUACGUAGGUCCCGAGCGUUGUCCGGAUUUAUUGGGCGUAAAGCGAGCGCAGGCGGUUUGAUAAGUCUGAAGUUAAAGGCUGUGGCUCAACCAUAGUUCGCUUUGGAAACUGUCAAACUUGAGUGCAGAAGGGGAGAGUGGAAUUCCAUGUGUAGCGGUGAAAUGCGUAGAUAUAUGGAGGAACACCGGUGGCGAAAGCGGCUCUCUGGUCUGUAACUGACGCUGAGGCUCGAAAGCGUGGGGAGCGAACAGGAUUAGAUACCCUGGUAGUCCACGCCGUAAACGAUGAGUGCUAGGUGUUGGAUCCUUUCCGGGAUUCAGUGCCGCAGCUAACGCAUUAAGCACUCCGCCUGGGGAGUACGACCGCAAGGUUGAAACUCAAAGGAAUUGACGGGGGCCCGCACAAGCGGUGGAGCAUGUGGUUUAAUUCGAAGCAACGCGAAGAACCUUACCAGGUCUUGACAUCCCGAUGCUAUUUCUAGAGAUAGAAAGUUACUUCGGUACAUCGGUGACAGGUGGUGCAUGGUUGUCGUCAGCUCGUGUCGUGAGAUGUUGGGUUAAGUCCCGCAACGAGCGCAACCCCUAUUGUUAGUUGCCAUCAUUCAGUUGGGCACUCUAGCGAGACUGCCGGUAAUAAACCGGAGGAAGGUGGGGAUGACGUCAAAUCAUCAUGCCCCUUAUGACCUGGGCUACACACGUGCUACAAUGGUUGGUACAACGAGUUGCGAGUCGGUGACGGCAAGCUAAUCUCUUAAAGCCAAUCUCAGUUCGGAUUGUAGGCUGCAACUCGCCUACAUGAAGUCGGAAUCGCUAGUAAUCGCGGAUCAGCACGCCGCGGUGAAUACGUUCCCGGGCCUUGUACACACCGCCCGUCACACCACGAGAGUUUGUAACACCCGAAGUCGGUGAGGUAACCUUUUGGAGCCAGCCGCCUAAGGUGAUAGAAGGG
rnacentral:rRNA from 1 species